rnacentral:rRNA from 1 species
UACGGGGGGGGCAAGCGUUGUUCGGAAUUACUGGGCGUAAAGGGUGCGUAGGCGGCGCGGUAAGUCGGGUGUGAAAUCUCGGGGCUUAACUCCGAAACUGCAUUCGAUACUGCCUUGCUUGAGGACUGGAGAGGAGACUGGAAUUCACGGUGUAGCAGUGAAAUGCGUAGAGAUCGUGAGGAAGACCAGUGGCGAAGGCGGGUCUCUGGACAGUUCCUGACACUGAGGCACGAAGGCCAGGGGAGCAAACGGG